AACCAUUCUGCCUACUAGCCUGCUGCCCAACGAUUGGUCCAUGCGAAAAGCCUGUUAACCGCUAUGUAAACAUUGUCGCCAAUACACAUCUCACACAUUAUCGCAAUACCCAUUCAGCCAAAGGGUUAAUGCAUUGGCAUCGUUCAAACAUCAGCGCGCUUCUGUACACGUGCUCGAAUUAGAUACGACGGUUUUCAUUGGCUCAUAAGUUGUGUUACAUGACCAUUCACCCGGCAAGAAAAUUUCAUGAAAUUUGGACCAAAAUUAACGAAACAGUGGCGAUUUCCAUGUUUUUUAUCGAUUUUUCGACAAGUUACAGAUUUUGGAAUUCUUCAAGACUAGAUAGCCGGCUGGUUGCAUGGUGUGUACUGCAGAUAACUUCUCGACUUAAUCCGGCUGAUGUGAUGCUUUAGUUGAUUCGAGAGGCUACAUGUAUAUAGGCCCAGUACGUCGACAUCAUUGAUCCGGCAGUGAACAAGAUAAGUGGUUCAGCCUCCAAGAUGUGUCACCAGAAAUGCAACCGACAUUAUAGACAGGCGUGAUUACUACUCUGAUUUUGGACUGAUGGUAUACUCGUCUUCAAAAUGGACCUGACUAGGAAUGAUGAUGGUGACUUCCCUCCUCAGAAAAAAGCUCGGUUGGAUUCGAAAGUUGGUGCAGGCGGUCAUUAGCGAUAUUUCGGUCGUAAACGCAAGAAGUCCAAGAAAUCCACUGACAAAUCAGGAAAACGUAUAUUCAAUGUCGGUGACACGUGUUUGUUCAGAUUGGACUCAAAAGUUUAUCUUGGAACCGUUCUUAGUCAAGUUGAUGAACAUCAUUUCCAAAUUGAGGACUAGACAGGAACAGUGCGUACCUUCAU